rnacentral:rRNA from 1 species
AUUCCAAUCGAACCCGGAGAUAGCUGGUUCUCCCCGAAAUAGCUUUAGGGCUAGCGUCGAGAGAAGAGUUGCGUGAAGGUAGAGCACUGAAUAUGUGAUGGCCCCAUCUCGGGGUACUGAGCAUAAUCAAACUGCGAAUGUCACGCCAACAUGCUCGGCAGUCAGACAGCGGGUGAUAAGGUCCGUUGUCAAGAGGGAAACAGCCCAGACCAUCAGCUAAGGUCCCAAAAUGUAUGCUAAGUGGAAAAGGAUGUGGAGAUGUACAGACAACUAGGAGGUUGGCUCAGAAGCAGCCAUCCUUUAAAGAGUGCGUAACAGCUCACUAGUCGAAUGACUCUGCGCCGAUAAUUUACCGGGGCUAAGCAUACUACCGAAGCUAUGGAUCCCAAGGGAUGGUAGGGGAGCGUUCCAUGAACGGAGAAGUACGACCGAAAGGACGUGUGGAGAUCAUGGAAGAGAGAAUGCCGGUGUGAGUAGCGGAACGUGGGUGAGAAUCCCACGCACCGAAAACCCAAGGUUUCCAGAGGAAGGUUCGUCCGCUCUGGGUAAGUCGGGACCUAAGGCGAGGCCGAAAGGCGUAGUCGAUGGACAACAGGUAGAGAUUCCUGUACCCGUAUAUAUGUGAAGGAAUGACGGAGAGAGGAAGCUGCAGCCAGCGGCUGGAAGAGCUGGUGCAAGCGAGAUAUCGGGAUGGCAGGCAAAUCCACCAUCCGAAACGAGAAGGCGUGAAGCGUACGGAAAGCUACGGCGAGUACGGAAGGCAGUGGAGGAACUUCCAAGAAAAGUUUCUAACGUUAAGUAUAUAUGGCCCGUACCGAAAAUGGACACACAUGGGUGAGGAGAGAAUCCUAAGGUGAGCGAGAGAACUAUAGCUAAGGAACUCUGCAAAAUGACUCCGUAACUUAGGGAGAAGGAGUGCUCAUAGAGAUAUGAGCCGCAGUGAAACGGCCCAAGCGACUGUUUACCAAAAACACAGCUCUCUGCUAAGCCGCAAGGCGAAGUAUAGGGGGUGACGCCUGCCCGGUGCUGGAAGGUUAAGGGGAGGGGUUAACGCAAGUGAAGCCCUGAACUGAAGCCCCAGUAAACGGCGGCCGUAACUAUAACGGUCCUAAGGUAGCGAAAUUCCUUGUCAGGUAAGUUCUGACCCGCACGAAAGGCGUAACGAUUUGGGCGCUGUCUCAGCUGUAGACUCGGUGAAGUCUUAGUACCUGUGAAGAUGCAGGUUACCCGCGACUAGACGGAAAGACCCCAUGGAGCUUCACUGCAGGUUGAUAUUGGGAUUUGAUGCAGCAUGUACAGGAUAGGUAGGAGGCAAAGAGAUGGAUACGCCAGUAUUCAAGGAGCCGCUGUUGGGAUACUACCCCUGUUGUAUUGGAUUUCUAACCGGACGACGUAGAGCCGUUGACGGGACAGUGUCAGUCGGGCAGUUUGACUGGGGCGGUCGCCUCCCAAAGAGUAACGGAGGCGCCCAAAGAUACCCUCAGCUUGGAUGGAAACCAAGCGCAGAGUGCAAAGGCAAAAGGGUGUUUGACUGCGAGACCCACAAGUCGAGCAGGGACGAAAGUCGGGCUUAGUGAUCCGGCGGUGCUGAAUGGAAAGGCCGUCGCUCAACGGAUAAAAGCUACCCUGGGGAUAACAGGCUGAUCUCCCCCAA